ACCAGAAGGCUGUGCGUCUCCUAAGCCCUUCACUUGCUCUACAUGGGCUUGCAAUCCAGUGUCCAGAGUCUGAAUGCAGCCUGGACACAGAGGAGAGAACAGCACAUACACAAUUAUGAAGGACAUUAGCCACUGGAAAGCUUCGAUUAUUCUCUUCAAUGCAUGUUAAUAGCAGUCUCAUGGUUUGGGGGUAGAAGUUGUUAAGAAGCCUUGUGAAACCUUCUUUUGUCUUUUUCUGCUGUUUUUUUGCUGACAAUAUAUCACUUAGCACAUGAUCCAUGUUCAAUUAAAAAUCCAUUGGUCAGGUGUAAACAGUAUUGGAUUUGGGCGUGCACUUUCAGAGUUAAAAUGGAUAUCCAGCUGGACAUUGUAGAAAGUGUUGUGAAAUACCCACGUGCAGGAAAUUGUAGUAACGUUAUUCAGCAAAAAAAAGUUGUUCACUUGUUUACGUUGUUGAACGACAUCAAGAACAGAAGCGCAGUGAAAGCCAACGUUGACCAAGGACAACCAAGGACAAGGGGGUCAGACUCUCUCCUUAGGACAACCAAGUCCUGCCUCAUAUGUUGUGUUCCUCUGGUCAUACAACUGAAAAGAUGAAAAUUGAGAUGCUGAAGAUGAAGAUCAAGAUGGAGGCUUUAUAAGAAGAGUGGGACUUCCUCCACAAAACAUUUAACCAGUUGUAUGUCAGUAGUCUGUCUCCAUAUAUCGCUGAAAGCAAGAACACUCUUGUUAUUCUGCAUACUUAAUAUGUGUAUUCCUCUUCCACCCACUUCCUGCGCUCCUUAUCUACUUUAAAAACCGAUUAAACUAUUAUCACAAAUUAAACUGUAUUCACUCCAGGGUUACAUGCUACUUCCAACUAACUUUUCUUCCUGAUACUACUUUUACUUUUUAUGCUACAGACCUUUAUAUACCCCAAAAGCUCCCAUGGUGUCACGGGAUUCUUCCUGGGAAGGAGAGGCGGAC